CUCAAGAAUCAAAAACCAAUUCUUACUGCACAAUCUAGUUCAAUACUUAUUACAACAUGUUUUCUUAUAUUGUAUGAUUUGAUACCAACAUUUUGAACUGCUUAUGAAAUAAAAACCUUUCCUAACCUCUCUUGUGUUCCAAAUCAUUCAUACUAUUAGUAAUCGUCAUUGAUCCUUAAUGCAUUUUUUUUUUUAAAAGUAACGGGUCGUCUAACAAGUCCAUCAAAACGGGAACUCCUAGAUCUCUCUAUAUGCACCGGAUUCAUAUGGUUCCAAUGGAAAUAAAUGCUACUUGAAACGAGAUUGUUCGCACGGUCCAUGGACUUUUUUGGCGUGUUUGUACUAGACCUAUUCUCCAAAGCCUAUACAAUCCUCCCUUUCGACAAAAGCACAUCACUGUUCCAUUAGUCCCUCAUCCGAAGAAGACGAAUAUUGCGGAUACAUUCGACCUGCUCACCUUGCUCUUUUUGUUUUAUUUGGGCUGGCUGGCUCCUUUGUGAUCGACAUUUUCUCCCUGUUAUUUGCUCUAGUGUCUACUUGCACGCUGUUGAACUACCUAAACCCCCAAUUCUAUGGAUUUUUUUUUCCGCAAAAUCUA
rnacentral:lncRNA from 1 species